CUCUUCUUCCUGGUUCAAAAAUAUAUCAUUACAGAGGGUGGGACAAAGCAGCAUCUUACUAUUGGUCUCCAAGAAAAUAAAUCAGAAUGAAAGGAAGUAAACAAAGAGAUGGUAGCUAGCUAGGCUAGCGGUUAGUAAUCUCUAAUGUAAAGUAAGGCAAAUAACAUCAGUAGUAGAGUAGCUGAGUGAUGUUGGCAUUGUAUCCGGGUGCAAUAAUGUUCCGGUCAGAUAAAAAUACACGACACAUUUCCACUCUUUUCCUGGCCGCGAGGGAGUUUUGUGUCAGGCAUGGCUGCAGGCCAGCUACAUCCUGCUUAUGGUGUCGAUACGAUGUCAUUCACCAGCUGCGGUUGACUGUGUCCAGUGAUCACUUUGUGGUCACUGACUAUAAGAGGGACAGGUUGAAACAGCGUUCUGUUCCCACUGUCUUUCCACCAUGGACGGGAAAGCUCCAACCAUUCAAGAGAUCAGAGAAGCCGUGUGGAGUAUUCCAAACAGGCCAACCUCCCAACAUCACCCAACAAAAACCAACCUAGGAGUAGCUGAUGGCAAAACUUUUCAGCCUAACUUUGGAACUACACUGAACAAAAAUAUAAAUGCAACAUGUAAAGUGCUGGUCACAUGUUUCAUGAGCUGAAAUAAAAAAAAUCCUAUAAUUUUUCCAUACGUACAAAAAGUUGAUUUCUCUCAUAUUUUGUGCACAAAUUUGUUUUACAUCCCUGUUAGUGGGCGUUUCUCCUUUGUCAAGAUAAUCCAUCCACCUGACAGGUGUGGCACAUCAAGAAGCUCAUUAAAAAGCAUGAUCAUUACACAGGUGCACCUUGUGUUGGGGACAAUAAAAGGCCACUUUAAAAUGUGCAGUUUUGUCACACAACACAAUGCCACAGAUGUCUCAAGUUUUGAGGGAGUUUGCAAUUGGCAUGCUGACUGCAGUAAUGUCCAACAGAGCUGUUACUAGAGAAUGUAAUGUUAAUUUCUCUACCAUAAGCUGCCUCCAAUGUCGUUUUACACAAUUUGGCAGUACGUCCAACCGGCAUCACAACCGCAGACCAUGUGUAACCACACCAGCUCCACAUCUGGAUUGAUUGGGCCUGGCUCCCCAGUGGGUGGUUGGGCCUAUGCCCUCCCAGUCCCACCCAUGGCUGCACCCCUGCCCAGUCGUGUUAAAUCCAUAGAUUAGGGCUCUUUGACUGUACUGUUUGAAACCUCUCGUUUCAAGGUCCACCAUGGCCUCAGCUAACUCAAAGUUUAUGCCGCACUCUGAAAGUAUAGUGAAAAAGCUCAAAGGGACACAAGAAACUUAAAUACAUAGCUGUCUCUCCAGCUAUGGGGGUUGGGAUUUGUCAUUUAUUUACAUUUCUUAUUGGUACAUGUUCAGUGUUUUGUAAAAAAUAAAGCAUCCAUUAAACUUGA